UAUGAUACUGCCUUUUAAAAAUAGUUUUGCACCUGAUGGUAUGUUUUGAAAAUCACCUUCUGAUUCUGAACAGAAUUUUGUUUGUGUUUAGUUUUGUAGACAUUUGAUCCUUUCAGAAAAAGGUCAUAUCGAAUGGAAGUUGAUGUAUUUUGCACUUCAGAAGUAUUACCCAACUAAAGAACAGUAUGGAGAUACUUUGCACUUUUGUCGGCACUGCAGCAUUCUCUUUUGGAAGGACUACCAUCUUGCUUUACUGUUCAAGGACUCGGGACAUCCCUGCACUGCGGCCGACCCUGACAGCUGCUUCACGCCUGUGUCCCCACAGCACUUCAUCGACCUCUUCAAGUUCUGAAGCUGCCCCUCACCCUGCCGUCUGCUGGAGGCCGUCCUGGUGCCGUGUGGGGCUCCGUGUGCAGCGCUCUGGUCCGGCGGGGCAGGGCGUGGUUGUGCACAUGCAUCUUUGGAGGUCGGGGCCCACGCAAAAUCAUUUCUACUUCCAUCUGUGAAAACUUUUCUUCUGAGCAUAUUAGGAUUUUUUCUGAGCAGUUUUUCAUAUUUUAUAUAUAUGGUUCAAAGAAGAUUUUGGAUUUUCAACCCCUCAUUCUGUGCUGAACUGAUACAGAAGGCCUUCUAGAACAUGCUUCUCCAUUGUCAAACCAUAGUUUCCCCAUUUUAUAGCAAUUGGAGUGGGGGACAAAACAGUUGAUCUUUGUAAAUACAUUGUGCAGAAUAUUUAUUUUUUCUUAAAACAUAUUUUAACUCCAUUGGCUGUGCCCAAAUGAGUCCUCUUUGAAUACAGAACGAACCUAGGGAAGUGCUGGCACGUUCCGACUGGCGGUAGGGGGUCAGCUGUGCGUUGCGUGCUAUGCCCUACACGGGGCGGUGGCUUCCCUGGGCACCAGGUAUAGGCCUGGGCAGGGCACCUGCUGCCAGGGGGCCGUGUGCACGCACACCUGGACUGUGCCCACCAGCCCACGCAGGAGCGUGUGCCCAGACUGAGCUGGGAACAGCCACUGUGGUCUAAACUCCUUUCACAGACAGGAAUAAAUCACAUUUAUCCCAUA